AUCCUGAACUCUAUUAUUUCAAGUUUCUAUAAUAGAGUUCAAAAUAGAGCACUCUGUCAUAGUUGUUCCAGUUAAUCAAGACCUACACUGCCAGCAUAUUAUUUAAUUAUUCUGAUUUUCCACUAUUUGGUUAAUCACAGAGACAGCCUUUUAUUCUCUGAAAAAGUUGCAUUCUAGGAAGAGGAAGAUUGUUGACAGACGAGCCUCUAAGAGUCGCAAGAUAAGGUAUAAUGUUCAUGAGAAGAUCGUAAAUUUCAUGGCUCAAUAAUUUGUUUGGGUUGAAGAACCAGAAACGAGCUUCUGUAGUAUAGUGUAUGGGCCUUUGGAUCCAGGCUCUUAAAUUUUGUAUUUGAUUAGAUCAGUAGAAGAUGUAUUCGAUGCUAUGAAACGAAUUGGUCUUAGGAAGACAUUGGCUAUAUAUAAUUAUAUAUGCAAAGACAAAAGUUUGGUGUUGAUUUAUAUGAAGGAAGAAAGCCACUCUGUCGGUCAAUUAACCAGCUGUUGAGUUGAGAUGUACAAAAAAUUCAGCCACGGCUUGUGGACUGUCGCUUCUUUCUUUAAGAGAGAGAAGACCGAGUGAUUAGAGACAGAGUGACAAAGAAGCAAGCUGCGGUGAUGAGCACCUUCCAGCCACGGAGGCCGCCGAAUUUAUUGCUGCCUGUGGUAGCCGCAAUAGCGUGAUCAUCCUGCUCUUCUUCUUUGUCUGGAAAACACAGAAAAUCCCAAUAAAUUAGAGGAAGCUUGUUUUUCAAAUGAAUAUGGACUGGCCUGUGACGAGCAUAGAUGAUUAUCUGAUCCUAACAACAUAGAUUUGUGAUUCUAAUUUAAUUUGUUAGGGGUCUCAUUUUUUAUUAUUUAGUUUAUUUUAGAAACAGUUGGAGUAAGAUCAAAUGCGUCAAUAAGCAACACACCUGUUGUAUCUUCAUCAGAGUCCUCAUCAUUGAACAAGUAUUCUCCUGGGUGAAUUUCACUAGAAUAUGCACGAAGGUGAAUGGUUUUGCGUUGGGUACUCAUCACAGUAUUAUGAUUCUCUUCUUGUUCCUGCACAAUCUGGAUGCCUAACUCCUUUACUCGAAGGAAAGGUUGCGUAACAACUGAAACAACCACUCGAUCGCCGCCUUCUAAGUGAUCAUCCUGAAACUUCCAGUGGCUUAACCAUAUCAUGUCUUCUCCUUCACCUGGAAUACCGUUGUGUGUUGGGCUAUAGUACCACUUCAGACCCUUGCUCUUAUUUCUGACUCUAGCCAUCACAUCCGCAUUAUAUUUAAAACCAACCAUCAGAUUGGGAGUAAAA